rnacentral:lncRNA from 1 species
AUAAAUUAGCCGAGGCAUUGCAAUCCUUUCAAGAGUAAGCUCUCUUUCACAUAUCAUGUGUUGAUCAAAGUAAGCGAUUCAUUCGGACUUUGUCCUCAUUUUUGGGACAAAUGUCUUUUUUUUUACUCCAAUUGGACAAUUUUUAUUUUUAAUUAUUUUUCACUCAAUCAGUUGAUCGGAUUCAUCAGGUAUUGUAUGGUGCCUACCCUAGAGGAUUGCAUUUUCAUGCUAGGCCUACCCUUGGCAUAAAAGGGCUCCCCCAUAGGACAUGCAUACCGAUCUUUUAUUCUUGCUUACUGACUCGGAGUAUUUUCCUUUUCUUUUUCCCCC